CAUGACGAUAGUUACCGCUACAGCUACACCUCCAACAGGUAGACGAGGAAAUAAAGACGACAGUGACCCUGACUACGUGUCUAACAAAGAGGAGGAGGAGGAGGUUCUCUCUUUAACUGUUCCUCACUCACAGCUCAGACCUGCUGACAUUAACAUUAACAUUAACAUUAACAUUAACAUUAACACUAGUGCUGCUGAUAAGAAGAGCGACGAGCCGGGAGUGAAGAGCCCAACAUGGAAACACACACAGAAAAAGAAAAGCCAGCCAAUGGCCAGUUGAUCUAUGUUCCUCCCAAUGACACCGUCCGUCUGCUGGAGGUCUACGUCAAACGCAGCCUCAGUCUCAAUGAUGGAACACUGGGACUAAACUCAGUGAAUGCAAGGGAGAAAGAAAAGUGGGUACCGGUUCGAAGAAGGAUUCGCCGACACUCCAGCGACCCGUCCUUCCUUAAUAUUGAGGGCUGCAGUGAAACAAGAGAUAAUGUUUCUGUGGCUGAAUUACGAAUAGAUGAAGAGGAGGAAACCCCCAAAAAGAUUAGCAAACAAUCGAAGAAGAUAAAGAAACCCACGUUUUGGAAAACCUUUUUGGGUUUUUUCUCUCGUAAAACAAACGAGGACAAAGACGAGGAGCACGACGUUCCUGCUGAGAAGCCUGAGGACCCUGAGGCAACAGACGCCUUCCUGCCCUCCACUCCAGUCACGCCACGAAAGAAAACACUGAGAAAACGUUCCAUGAGGAGGAGAUUCUCAAAGAGACGUCUAUCUCUGAUCAAACUCAAUAAACCUGGGAAAGAACUCCACACCACAGACAUCACCGGUGUCGAGGGGAUUGUGAGUGUGGAGCCAACAAACUCGUACUAUGAGAACGUGUCGGCAGAGCUUGAAAAAAUUGUGCAUGAAGUAAAAGUGGAAGAGAAGCCUCUCUCAAAUGAGGAGCUAAUCGAAAGGUUCAUCGCUCUGACGAAGGAGGAAGGCGAUGCAAUGGAUGUCAAGUUGAAAGAAAACCCCACGCUGAGCAGUUUCUUCCAGAAAAUUACCUACUCCUCCUUUAAGAAGCUGGCUGAUGCCUACUUGGAAAAAGAGGUUUCUAUCCCCAAGAAAACCCCAACUGUACCACCAACGGCACCUGAACUGGUUAAACUGGCCUUCACAUUGGAUUUCACAGCUCGUAUGGCCAUGCUGUCCAAACAGAAUGUGGUCUACAUCACAGGACUGGGGAACCGGUACCUACAAGACCAGUUUGAAUACACUCAGGCUUGUACCGAUCAUCCGUGGUCCGACAGUGACGACUGAAUCGAUCAGAAAGAGACGAGGUUGGAAGAGAACGUUUUUCACAUCGUCGCUAAGUGCUUCAAAUGAUUGUUGAGAUCAUAGAUUUUAAAGACACUUGUUAGCGUGUUAGUUAAUUAUUUACUUGGUUGUAAAUGAAGCUCUGCUCCGUCAGAUGUUUACAGAGGAAGCAGUUUAGCACGUUGGAGUUUCAGUUUGUGAAAAACGAAAGGUUGACUUUUAUUAGCAGCACACUCCUGUCAUAAUGUGCCAAAUGUUUUUCAAUGCUAUAGCAUUUUAAGGGAUCAGUUUAAAAUCGUGAUCAUUUGCCAGCUUGUCUGUUUACCUGGUUAUUAGCAGUACUCUAUCCUGGAGCUAGGUGUGUCGAGUCCUUUGGACCCACUUUUCUGCCAGUUUUAGUUGACUCUCUACAGCACCACACCUGAUGCCAUGUGAGGAGCUCAUUAUCAAGUUUUCUGCCAAGCUGCACCAUGACACGAUCAGUUUAGACAUGCACGACUCAUACCCUCAAUGGCUGUGUUAAAAAUGGCGCAAUUCAUACUAUACACUACAAACUCAAAGAGUAUAUACUGUCUACGAUAUACUGAGUAUGGUUAGGAUGAUACGAGUGAUGACCGUUCCCAGUGAAGUAUACUUUCAAGUUUCUCAAAAUGUAUUUUGAACCUACAACGACAAAAACCGGAAGCACACUAUGGCUAAUAAUCUCCGUUUAUUUGCCACCUUUGAAAGUUCUGAAAUUAUUUUAAGUGAGAAAGUGACCAAGUAGAAUAUCAACAUGUGGUCAUUUGAUCCAUAAAACUCACGGAAACAUUUAAUUCCAACUUUUCAGAGAUUUUCGUAGACCCCCCACUGUGCUAAUGACAAUGGGGGAUUAACUUCAAAACAAGAGCCCUAUUUACAAAAGCAUUAAAGAACUAAUGGAAGACAAGAAGAGAUGCUUUUGUUUUGAAAAGGGGAUGUUCGACUUUUAGCUUGAAGCCGGUCCCAGGACGAUUUUACGUUCCGUUUGCUAUGCAUCAUGGGACGGUUAAGUAUGACUAGUGUGCCCACCGUGCAUACUUAAAAAAUGUCCCGAUACAGUAUUCAUUUGGGUACUUUUCAUACUAUCUAAUGUGAACGCACUACAUACUCAUUUUUGUCAGACCUUGUAUGAGUAGUACGUUAGUAUGCGAUUGCAAGCACAGCCGAAGACUAGAGUUGCCAACUCCUGGCCUAGACUCAAGAAUUGUGUUUAGCUACCUUAGGAGCUACAUUCAGACUGAAGGCCAAUGCGAUUGAAAUCAGUUUUUGUAUUUUGGUCAUGUCUGGCACAUAUCCGAUCUCAUAAAGACAAUUUGAACAGCACAAAUCUGAUUUUUAAAUAUUUUUUUCAAAUCCGACCCAGGCCUCUUUCAAAUGUGGUUUGAAAGCUCAUACAUGUGUUUUGCAAUGGCAGGAGGCCAGGAGGAGCGUCCGAAUUGUGCAUUAUGACCACCUGUCUGAACGUAGUCGUAGGGAAGACAUUGGAAUUCCUCAAAUAACAGCUGGUGGAAAUAGCUGGGAGAGUGUUGUCUGGGCUUCACUGCUGAGGGUGUUUAUGUCAAACAGGCCUGAAGCAGUAGCAAGAAUAAGGAGUAACGAGGCCAAAAAAUGCUUAAGAAUCCAGAGAAAAUUCACGCAAGCUCAAGUAAAUCCUUCAAACACUGCAUAUAAAGGCUUGGUGCUCAUCCAUGAUCUAGCUUUUAGCAGUAGCUGUGCCACAGAUGAGCUCAGUAAAUAGGUGCAACAUUUUUCUUUACAUUUCUUUGUCAUCUGUACAUGACUGUGACUUUUAAAAGCUGUUGUGAGUGCUGGCAUUCAUAUUCUAUUGUAUAAUAAACGCACAUAAUUUAUUGCCA
ensembl:lncRNA uncharacterized LOC114463653